UCCUGGGAACCCCAUCGGAUCCGUCACUCAGGAAUUGCAUCCAUUUCUCCCUAAAUUCAUGAUCAGGAAUGAGAGGGAUGAGCCAGUACUGAAACUGACUGGGCCAUUUUGUAUAUGUGGAUGUGACACAGACUUUGAGGUGAAAUCUCUGAACGAAGCCAUUGUGGUCGGCAGGAUCACCAAACAUUGGGCCGGCCUGGCCCAAGAGUUGUUCACUAAUGCCAACAACUUUGCCGUGCACUUCCCUCUGGACCUUGACGUCAGAGUGAAGGCUGUGGUACUCGGAGCAUGUUUUCUCAUCGAUUUUAUGUAUUAUAAGAACUGAAGAUGAGUCCAUUUGAGGAUAUGACUGCAGAUCCGGAAAAGAUGCGAUGCUUCCAAAGUUAUUCAUUUAAUUUCUGAAGUUUCGGGAGUUGCUAGUGACAGUGUUUUCAGGGUCAUUCAUUUGUGUUGAUACAAUUGUGUUUUGAUCUUGUUCCACUUCAUCAGGUAUGUAGCUUUUGCACAGAUACAAUAGUAUAGAUCCUUGUGGGGUGCAGGACCUUCCAAACACACUCUGCCGUCAUAAAUGUACGUGAGUGAGAUCUAUCCCUAGAAUUGCAAAAGCUUGUUUUUGAAGUCCAGAUAUGUGACUCACAGUACUGCUUUGCCAAAGGUAGAUAAGAUGUACAGCUGAUUAACGCAUAUGGAGGAUUAGAAAAAUAGAGUCCUUCAGAAAGUCCAUUUUCUGUUAUAUUUUAUAUGUAUUUAGUCUGCUUAUCCCAGUAGAAUGCCUUGAGAAAGGUGUUCUAUAGUUUCCUCUACAGAAUAUUCAUAUUGUCAAAUGACCUUUUUACAGAAUUCGAAUAAAGC